AGGAAGGGCUGGGCCUGAAGCUACCAGCAGAGAGUAAAAGUAAUAUGCUCCCAGCCCUUGCAAAGCAGUUUAUGUAGACAGCUCUCCUGGCCCUCACAGCCACCCCGUGCUGGGGGAGCAGUUACUGUCAAUGGCCGUUUUACAGGAAGCCCAGCAAGAGGCUGGGGCAGUCUUCCAGGAAGGCCAGGGAUGCUGCAGCCGGACGCGUGGCAGCGGCGGUGGGAAUGGCUGGGAGGACGGCAAGGGAGGGAUCCCGGAGGCAGCCUCGCCGACAGUGGGCGGCCCAGUGUUUCGUCGGUUCGAAUCCUGGGUGCGGACAUGGCACUGCUCGUCA